rnacentral:rRNA from 1 species
GACGAACGCUGGCGGCGUGCUUAACACAUGCAAGUCGAACGGAAAGGCCCUUCUUUUGUGGGUUGCUCGAGUGGCGAACGGGUGAGUAACAUGUGAGUAACCUGCCCUUGACUUUUGUAUAACUUCAGGAAACUGGGGCUAAUACCGGAUAGGAGCUCCUGCUGCAUUGUGGUGGUUGGAAAGUUUCGGCGGUUGGUUAUGGACUCGCGGCUUAUCAGCCUGUUGGUGGGGUUGUUGCUUACCAAGGCUUUGACGGGUAGACGGCCUGAGAGGGUGACCGGCCACAUUAGGACUGAGAUACGGCCCAGACGUCUACGGGAGGCAGCAGUGGGGAAUAUUGCAAAAUGGGCGGAAGCCUGAUGCAGCAACGCCGCGUGCGGGAUGAAGGCCUUCGGGUUGUAAACCGCUUUCGCCUGGGACGAAGCGUGAGUGACGGUAAUGGGUAAAGAAGCACCGGCUAACUACGUG